rnacentral:lncRNA from 1 species
GCUAUUUUCACGCCACAAUGAAAGAAUGCAACAGAAAACGAAGGAGGAACAAACAAAUGAUAAGAUGAGCUCUUUUUUACGAAGCAGUAGAAAGUAUCUCAUCAAAUAGCACGCAUGCCUGGUUCCUUAAAGUAGCAGUUACAUUCCUAAACCAAAAUACUCCAAUCAUAUUAAUAGGGCGGCUUAAAAAAUAAUCUGGACAAGAUCCUGUUGGGGAAAUAUCCACCCUCGCUUCUGCUCCGAUCAGUACUUUCAUGGUAUUUAUUACACAGCCACAGGGUGGAGAUGCAUCAAUUUUUAAAUCUUUAGUCAGGAUUGGAGACUUAUGGCAGGUUCUGGGGGAAUGUUUCAUUAAGACCCCGUCUAAAGUUCCUUUGGUGACUCGUUGCUGGGUCAGCGCGCCGCGCGGCCCAGGGUCCGGAGCUCCUGCCCCUUUGUUACGCAGUGGACCCCGCCGGCAGGCCCGGCCCCACGCCCACGGGCACCUCUGGGCUUCCAGAAACAGCCCCGGAGUCCACACGGGCUCCGACCGCCGAGCCGGGGUCUGGUCACACGGGCAGGACACUACACCCACGCGGGGAUGCCCGGGGCCGGCGCCCUCCAGCACCUCCCACCCAAACACCCGCGGUGCCCCCGGCCCGGACCGGAUCAGUGCAGGCGUGUGACGUCCGCUCCACAUGACGGGGGCGGGGGGCGGGCGCCAGGGGCGGGGGCGCGGGCAGGGCCCUCCCCCCCCUCUCGGCGCUGCCCGCCCCGCCCACGGCCCGCCCCCUGGAAGCCCAGCAACCAGCGGCCACCGCCCCGCCCCCGCCCCCGGGGCGGGCAGCAGGUUUCGACUUGAAUCCGAAAGCGCCUCUUGUGCCCAUUCUUUGCAGGAGGACACUCGGAGGAGCCAGCGUCUCUAUUUAGACUGCCGUGUGCCUAUCUAGCUGCAGACUCGGGUAAAAGCGUGUCCACGUCUACGGCAUACAGCUGUGCAAAGCAGAAGCCUGCGGAUGCGCGGGGCUGGUCGGACUUAGUGUGCAGACACAUGGGCGCAUGCACGCGCGCGCGCGCACACACACUCACACCCCAAAUUACCUCCGGAAUGGAGAAAGCCGCUGCGGAUUGGCCGACAGAGCCGUCAGUCACACCCAGGGGGCAGGGAGAUUUUGCAAGGCUGUUUCCUUCCCCCCCCCUCCCCACCCCCCCGUUUCAUUUAAUGGUAAAACAACAGCAGAGCUCUGAAAGUUAGCCAUCUGCGCCGAGAGAGUUUGGCUUCUUUAACGAGGGGGAUGUCAGACAGUAUCCAUUUAGGUAUAUUUUGUACUUCCACAGUGGAUGAAAA